rnacentral:rRNA from 1 species
GGUGGUUUGUCGCGUUGUUCGUGAAAACCGAAGGCUUAACCUUUGGCGUGCGGGCGAUACGGGCAGACUGGAGUACUGCAGGGGAGACUGGAAUUCCUGGUGUAGCGGUGGAAUGCGCAGAUAUCAGGAGGAACACCGGUGGCGAAGGCGGGUCUCUGGGCAGUAACUGACGCCGAGGAGCGAAAGCGUGGGGAGCGAACAGGAUUAGAUACCCUGGUAGUCCACGCCGUAAACGGUGGGUACUAGGUGUGGGUUUCCUUCCUUGGGAUCCGUGCCGUAGCUAACGCAUUAAGUACCCCGCCUGGGGAGUACGGCCGCAAGGCUAAAACUCAAAGGAAUUGACGGGGGCCCGCACAAGCGGCGGAGCAUGUGGAUUAAUUCGAUGCAACGCGAAGAACCUUACCUGGGUUCGACAUGCACAGGACGCUGGUAGAGAUAUCAGUUCCCUUGUGGCCUGUGUGCAGGUGGUG